rnacentral:rRNA from 1 species
AUUGAACGCUGGCGGCAGGCUUAACACAUGCAAGUCGAGCGAGCGGCGGACGGGUGCGUAAUGGCUGGGAAACUGCCUGAUGGAGGGGGAUAACGACGGGAAACGGUAGCUAAUACCGCAUACCAUCAGAUGUGCCCAGAUGGGAUUAGCUAGUAGGUGGGGUAAUGGCUCACCUAGGCGACGAUGCCUAGCUGGUCUGAGAGGAUGACCAGCCACGAUGGAACUGAGACACGGUCCAGACUCCUACGGGAGGCAGCAGUGGGGAAUAUUGGACAAUGGGCGAAAGCCUGAUGCAGCCAUGCCGCGUGUGUGAAGAAGGCUUUCGGGUUGUAAAGCACUGUCGGCGAGGAGGCGUUACUCGAAGAAGAAGCACCGGCUAACUCCGUGCCAGCAGCCGCGGUAAUUC